rnacentral:rRNA from 1 species
GAGCUCGCGGCCUAUCAGCUAGUUGGUGGGGUAAUGGCCUACCAAGGCUUCGACGGGUAGCUGGUCUGAGAGGAUGGCCAGCCACAUUGGGACUGAGAUACGGCCCAGACUCCUACGGGAGGCAGCAGUGGGGAAU